CAUAGGUACAGGAGGGGAACCGCCUGAACUGAAACAUCUAAGUAGGGCGAGGAAGAGACAUCAAACGAGAUUCCGUUAGUAGUGGCGAGCGAACGCGGAAGAGGGCAAACCGGAAGGAGAAAUCCUUCCGGGGUAUGGACCGCUUUUAGGACUUUAGCUGUUAAUCGAAUGGCAUGGGAAGGCCAACCAAAGAGUGUGAGAGUCACGUAGAUGAAAACGGCGAGAGCUGCGCGAGUUCCAGAGUACGGCCAGACACGUGAAACCUGGUCGGAAGAUGGGGGGACCACCCUCCAACCCUAAAUACUACCCAGUGACCGAUAGCGUAUAGUACUGUGAAGGAAAGGUGAAAAGGACCCCGGGAGGGGAGUGAAAUAGAACCUGAAACCUUGUGCCUACAAGCACAUAGAGCACAUCAACGUGUGAUAUGGUACUUUUUGUAGAACGGUCCGGCGAGCGAUUGUAUGUUGCGAGCUUAAGGUCUUAAGGACUGGAGGCGCAGCGAGAGCGAGUCUGAAGAGGGCGUUCAGUAACAUGCAAUGGGCCCGAAACCGGGUGACCUACCCAUGAUCAGGCUGAAGUGAAAGUAAAAUUUCAUGGAGGGCCGAACCGACCUCCGUUGAAAAGGCGGCGGAUGAAUUGUGGGUAGCGGAGAAAUUCCAAUCGAACUCGGAGAUAGCUGGUUCUCCCCGAAAUAGCUUUAGGGCUAGCCUCAUAUUAGAUACCCGGAGGUAAAGCACUGAAUGGCCUAGCGCCCGAGAGGGUAGCGAAGCCUAUCAAACUAAGAAUGCCGGAGUAUUGAUGUAUGGGAGUCAGACAGUGUGAGAUAAAUCUCAUUGUCAAAAGGGAAACAGCCCAGAUCUACAGCUAAGGUCCCAAAUUGUAUCUAAGUGGAAAACGAUGUGGAAAUACGCAGACAACCAGGAUGUUGGCUCAGAAGCAGCCACUCAUUUAAAGAGUGCGUAAUAGCUCACUGGUCGAGCGUCUCUGCGCGGAAAAUUUAACGGGGCUAAGAUACAAACCGAAGCUUAGGCUGCACGUAAGUGCGGGGUAGGGGAGCGUUGUGUAAGCGGAGAAACAGUAGCGUAAGCGGCUGUGGAGUUUACAGAAGUGAGAAUGCCGGAAUGAGUAGCGCGAAUGUGGUGAGAAUCCACAUGGCCGGAAACCUCAGGUUUUUGGAGGAAGGUUCGUCCGCUCCAAGUUAGGCGGGAGCUAAGGUCAGGCCGAAAGGCGUAGCCGAUGCACAGACGGUAGAGAUUCCGUCCCCACCGAAAGAUUUAAGCACAGGGACACUUUUUGAAGGUCGGAGCCAGGUGUUGGUUCUGGUAGUGAUCGAGGGAAAUAUAGUACCGAAGUCCGGCUGGAAGAGAGGCGAGAAAAGCUGUGUGUAUAUCUAAGGUGCCCGUACCGCAAACCGACACAGGUAGGUAGGAAGAAGAUUCUAAGGCCAACGGGAGAAGGGUUGUUAAGGAACUCGGCAAGUUGACCCCGUAACUUCGGAAUAAGGGGUGCUCACGAGAGUGAGCCGCAGAGAAUAGGCCCAGGCAACUGUUUACCAAAAACACAGGUUUGUGCUAAAUCGAAAGAUGACGUAUACGAGCUGACGCCUGCCCGGUGCUGGAAGGUUAAAAGGAGAUGUGCAAGCAUUGAAUUGAAGCCCCAGUGAACGGCGGCCGUAACUAUAACGGUCCUAAGGUAGCGAAAUUCCUUGUCAGGUAAGUUCUGACCCGCAUGAAAGGCGUAAUGAUCUGGGCACUGUCUCAACAGCCCGCCCGGCGAAAUUGUAGUACCGGUGAAGAUGCCGGUUACCCGCGACAA
rnacentral:rRNA from 1 species